GGCGGACGUAGCCAAGUGGAUUAAGGCAAU
rnacentral:tRNA from 11 species